rnacentral:lncRNA from 1 species
CAGGUGGAGGAGAGUGGAGGGGAGUAAGAUUAGAAGCAAGGAUACCAGUAGGAUGCAGUUACAGCAAUCCAGGUGGCUGUGCUACAAUUGUAAUAACAUCAGAUCUGUGCUGGGAGCAGUGGACAUCUCCGGAGGGAGCCACCUGAACAGAUGCUGGCUGUCUCGUGCCGAGGCCCCGCGCCAGAUCACAGAACUGUGAAGUGAUCCUGGGCAGAGGACAAAAUUGGAGACACUGGUUAUUUUCCCCAAGGCUUUGAAUGAAUGACAUGCUUUCGGAUACAAACAGACUCCUUUAAGAAAUCAAUGUUAACUUAGAGAGCCAAUAAAAUCCCCUUGGGAAAAGUGGACCCACAUCUUGUCUACACAAUCCCUGUGCAGGCUUUCUCACCUGUGUGAUCCAUGGCUGAGGCUCAGAAGAAACAAGAGGGAUGGGCCAUCAAUCACCAGAUGAUCCUCAGUGAGGGAUAAUAUCCUCUCAAUAUUUGAGUCACACUUCUACAGAGGACCCCUCAACUGCCCAUCUGUGGGACACGACAGAGGCAAAAUCCUGCCCCUGUCUCUCUCGGACCUGGCUGGAUACUGCUUUCACUAACCCACGAAGCAACCAUGCCCUAACAGCUAGCAAGAGAAUAAGACCCACAGAACAACCACCACCACCUCUCUGUCAGCAGGAAGCAGUUACAAAAGACUGACCUUUCCCAACAAAUUGGGUCUUGAACUCUUGAGGGGGGAAAUGUUAGAGUAGGUAGUUAGGCAGACAUGAGCAGGGCAGGAGAGGUCCCUGCCCAACCCAGGAAUGUCAGGUGACUAUCAGGUUAUGGUCAGGUGGUUGUUAUCUGUCUUGCUAAAAUAAUAAUUGGCUGCAGCUGGUGCCAGGGAACAGUAUCUCCCAAUAGAUGAAAAACAACUGAAGUUGAUGACCAGCAGCUUCCCAAUAAGAUCUCAGGAGUUGGGUGAGUGGGCUCAAGCAUGCACACUAAGAGCUGAAUGGCAGUGUUAACAGGUAAAUGACCUUCUUCUAGGAACGCCUGACUGGUAUGAGAAAAAUGCCUCAACUAAGCCUGUGUACAACUUCAGCAAACACACUGUGCUUGCAGCCCCUCCCAAGUGCUGGCAGGCCACUGAGCAUGCAGACAGCCUACCCCAAAAGAAGUAACGGGGAGAAGUAACACAACCCCAGAAGCAUCUCAAUACAUAAAACUUCAAGUUAAAGAUCAAACAGCACACUUGAAUCUCUCAAGUCACCUGCUUGGCUCUCUUCUAAGUGUACCUUACUUUCUUUUGUUCCUGCUCUAAAACUUUUUAAUAAACUUUCC